CUUCUGUGCUGGAGCCCUGGGGGGCUUGGCGUGUGGGAGCGGGCGCUUCCCUGCCCACCGCAGGCCCCAAGGAACGGUGCCAGUUAGAAGAGGAAAAGCUACAGAGCCAGAACUACUUCUUAUCACUAAAGCAGGAUUCCUACGGAGGAGCUGAAGACCCGCUUUUCUUUGGGACAUGUGAGUGCUCGACCUCUGCGUUUGUGAGGGAGAAGGCCCCAGGCAAAGCAUCACAUGGUUUCCCACAAUAAAAUGGUGCUUUGA